rnacentral:rRNA from 1 species
UACGGGGGGAGCAAGCGUUGUUCGGAUUUACUGGGCGUAAAGGGCGCGUAGGCGGCGUGACAAGUCACUUGUGAAAUCUCCGGGCUUAACCCGGAGCGGUCAAGUGAUACUGUCGUGCUAGAGUGCGGAAGGGGCAACUGGAAUUCUCGGUGUAGCGGUGAAAUGCGUAGAUAUCGAGAGGAACACCUGCGGCGAAGGCGGGUUGCUGGGCCGACACUGACGCUGAGGCGCGAAAGCCAGGGGAGCGAACGGG